UUGGUCACCUUUUAGUUGGGGUAACGUUGGAACGGCUGCUAAUACCGGAUGUGCCUGAUGGUGAAAGGUUUAUUGCCGGAAGAGGAGCUCGCGUCUGAUUAGCUAGUAGGUGGGGUAACAGCGCACCUAGGCGACGAUCAGUAGUUGGUCUGAGAGGAUGACCAGCCACACUGGGACUGAGACACGGCCCACACUCCUACGGGAGGCAGCAGUGGGGAAUUUUCCGCAAUGGGCGAAAGCCUGACGGAGCAAUACCGCGUGGGGGAGGAAGGCCUUUGGGUUGUAAACCUCUUUUGUCAGGGAAGAAUACAAUGCGAUCCCUGAUGAAUCAUCAUCAUCUAACUCCUUCCCGGCAGCCGCGGUGUUACUGAGGAUGAUACCGUUAUCCGGAAUUAUUGUGGCGUAAAGCGUCCGUAGGUGGUUUUUCAAUUCUGCUGUUUAGACCUCGGCUUAACUGCGGAAAGGCAGUGGAAACUGCUGAGCUAGAGUGCGGUAGGGGUAGCAGAGAAUUCCCAGUGUAGCGGUGAAA
rnacentral:rRNA from 1 species